AGAGUUUGAUCCUGGCUCAGGGUGAACGCUGGCGGCAUGUUUAAGGCAUGCAAGUCGAAUGUCUGCUUGCAGACAUGGCAAACGGGAGAGUAACACAUUGGUAAUCUACCUCUAUCUCAGGGAUAACCCGGAGAAAUCUGGAAUAAUACCUGAUAGACAUGGGGGGACAUAAGUCGUUCCCAUGUAAAGUUCCGGCGGAUAGAGAGGAGCCUAUGGCCCAUCAGCUUGUUGGUAAGGUAAAAGCUUACCAAGGCUACGACGGGUAGCGGGUGUGAGAGCAUGAUCCGUCUCACUGGGACUGAGACACUGCCCAGACUCCUACGGGAGGCUGCAGUCAAGAAUCUUCCUCAAUGGGCGAAAGCCUGAAGGAGCAAUGCCGCGUGAUCGAUGAAGCUUUUCGGAGUGUAAAGGUCUUUUAUCAAGGACGAAUUCGUGACGGUACUUGAUGAAUAAGUCACUGCUAACUACGUGCCAGCAGCAGCGGUAAUACGUAGGUGGCGAGCGUUACCCGGAUUGAUUGGGCGUAAAGGGUCCGUAGACGGUUUGUAUAGUUCUUAGUUAAAUCUUGAGGCUCAACUUCAAGACCGCUAAGAAUACUAAUAGACUAGAGACUGGAAGAGGUAAGCGGAAUUGCCGGUGUAGUAGUUAAAUGCGUUGAUAUCGGCAGGAAC
rnacentral:rRNA from 1 species